rnacentral:snRNA from 1 species
AUCUUUGCGCAGUGGCAGUAUCGUAGCCUAUGAGGUUUAUCCGAGGCGCGAUUAUUGCUAGUUGAAAACUUUACCCAAUACCCCGCCUGGACGACUUGAAAUAUAGUCGGCUGUGGCAGUUUUUGACGGUCUCUAAGGAGA